UGAAUAAAAACGCCGUUCGUAGACAUUCAACACAUUACGUCCUUGUUUCGCAGUGGCAGAUCCUCUGGCGCCAUCUGUUGGCUUUGUAAGACCUCCAACACAGAAGAAGAAGAAAGUUCACGGUAACCAGGCAACCGAGGAAGCUACACAGCAAACAACAACAGCUGCUGCCGUGUAAGAAACGUCAAGUAAAAUAAAUAAACGCGCAUAUGAUCACACACCAUGUCCAGUCCAAAAUCGAUGAGCAGAGCCACAGGAUGGAGUGAAGAGGUGGAAAACCUGUUCAGGUUCCAACAGGCAGGAUACAGAGAUGAAGUGGAGUAUGUUCAAGUCAAACAUGGAGCCUCGGUGGACAAAUGGCCGGAGAGCGGCUUUGUGAAGAAGCUCCAACUCCGCGACAACACGUUUUAUUACUACAACAGGAGACGGGAGUGUCCGGACCAAGACGUCCACAAAGUCAAAGUGUACGUGUAUUAGGGUGUCCUGCACCAUCGUCAUCAUCGUCACCAUCGUCAUCAUCGUCACCAUCGUCAUCAUGAUUCCUCUGUGAAGUCCUCUGGCUGAUUACAGCACUUAGACUCUCAAGUGCUCAAACAACACCACAAGGCAAAAUAAUCAUAUAUAAACAAUAUCAUUAUACAUCAAUGCUCCUAAAUACAACAAAAGGUCUAUGUUGUUCAUUAAGAAUCUUGAAAUACUAAAUAUCAUGUUCACUGAGAGGAAAUUGAGAACUUUAAAGCACACUUACAAUAAUAUAAAUUGUGUUUUUUCUUCUA